rnacentral:rRNA from 1 species
GACGAACGCUGGCGGCGUGCUUAACACAUGCAAGUCGAACGGAAAGGCCCUGCUUUUGUGGGGUGCUCGAGUGGCGAACGGGUGAGUAACACGUGAGUAACCUGCCCUUGACUUUGGGAUAACUUCAGGAAACUGGGGCUAAUACCGGAUAGGAGCUCCUGCUGCGUGGUGGGGGUUGGAAAGUUUCGGCGGUUGGGGCUGGACUCGCGGCUUAUCAGCUUGUUGGUGGGGUAGUGGCUUACCAAGGCUUUGACGGGUAGCCGGCCUGGGAGGGUGACCGGCCACAUUGGGACUGAGAUACGGCCCAGACUCCUACGGGAGGCAGCAGUGGGGAAUAUUGCACAAUGGGCGGAAGCCUGAUGCAGCAACGCCGCGUGCGGGAUGACGGCCUUCGGGUUGUAAACCGCUUUCGCCUGUGACGAAGCGUGAGUGACGGUAAUGGGUAAAGAAGCACCGGCUAACUACGUG